GCGUCGGUAUUGCAAUGGUUCAGCACGCUCCCCGGACGGAGGGAAAUGUGGGUUCGAAACCCACCUGACGUA